UUUUGAGUUAAAACAUCCCCUUAUCCCUGGGUGCAUCAUUCCUGACAUGUAGCAUUGUUAAUGAGAGUGUGAAUACCUUCAGACUUGUCACGCGACCUCUGAAAGUUGAUGGAGGUCAUUAGAGCACUGGUGAGCCAUCUUUAUUUCUGUGAAGACAUGGAAUUCCACGAAGACAGAACCCAGACAUUAAAUGCUAUGUUCCUCCUUUUCUACUCUUUUGCAGGCUGCCAGCCGAUAUGUUUUAGUGACUCCUGCUAAUUUGACAGCGUUCACUGGAGACCUGGGGCACAGCAUCAAUAUGUUAUCUAAGCCAAAAUCCCGUCAGAAGGAUCAGUACUAUCUUCUCCACGUGAACUCUCACCGUGUGCUCACACUCGACAUGGGUCGGGAAAAAUUCCAAGAAGUCAGGGGAGCCGAGGGCAUACGAAAUGGAGAGAAUCCUGAAGGAAACCUCUUCUAACAUCAUCAGAUUAGAAAAAACUGGGGCCAGUGGGGAGAUGAGCUACCAGAGGCCACAUAACAAGUGAAGGGUCAAAGUGAGAGCAGAAAUCCUCUUCUUCUAACUCGGGAUUCAAGGAAUUUCCAGCCACUUUGCAAAAGCAGAGCGAAGCAGGUCUCAGAGCUUAGUGACCGUUCCAAAGUGGCAGCCCUGUCCUCCUGGUCUCCCACUCCUUGCCAGGCCAGCGGGGGCUUCAAGUAGAUUUGCUUCCAGGAGAAAAGCCCCACGCCCGAGUCCA
rnacentral:lncRNA from 1 species